GAUGAACGCUGGCGGCGUGCUUAACACAUGCAAGUCGAACGGGGCAUUAAAGCGGAAGUUUUCGGAUGGAAGCUUCAAUGCUUAGUGGCGGACGGGUGAGUAACGCGUGGGUAACCUGCCCUGCACUGGGGGAUAACACCUGGAAACAGGUGCUAAUACCGCAUAAGCGCACAGGACCGCAUGGUCCGGUGUGAAAAACUCCGGUGGUGCAGGAUGGACCCGCGUCUGAUUAGGUAGUUGGCGGGGUAACGGCCCACCAAGCCGACGAUCAGUAGCCGGCCUGAGAGGGUGGACGGCCACAUUGGGACUGAGACACGGCCCAG
rnacentral:rRNA from 1 species